CCGCAGAAGAAGCACCGGCUAACUCCGUGCCAGCAGCCGCGGUAAUACGGAGGGUGCAAGCGUUAAUCGGAAUUACUGGGCGUAAAGCGCACGCAGGCGGUUUGUUAAGUCAGAUGUGAAAUCCCCGGGCUCAACCUGGGAACUGCAUCUGAUACUGGCAAGCUUGAGUCUCGUAGAGGGGGGUAGAAUUCCAGGUGUAGCGGUGAAAUGCGUAGAGAUCUGGAGGAAUACCGGUGGCGAAGGCGGCCCCCUGGACGAAGACUGACGCUCAGGUGCGAAAGCGUGGGGAGCAAACAGGACUAGAUACCCUGGUAGUCCACGCCGUAAACGAUGUCGACUUGGAGGUUGUGCCCUUGAGGCGUGGCUUCCGGAGCUAACGCGUUAAGUCGACCGCCUGGGGAGUACGGCCGCAAGGUUAAAACUCAAAUGAAUUGACGGGGGCCCGCACAAGCGGUGGAGCAUGUGGUUUAAUUCGAUGCAACGCGAAGAACCUUACCUGGUCUUGACAUCCACGGAAGUUUUCAGAGAUGAGAAUGUGCCUUCGGGAACCUUGAGACAGGUGCUGCAUGGCUGUCGUCAGCUCGUGUUGUGAAAUGUUGGGCUAAGUCCCGCAACGAGCGCAACCCUUAUCCUUUGUUGCCAGCGGUCCGGCCGGGAACUCAAAGGAGACUGCCAGUGAUAAACUGGAGGAAGGUGGGGACGACGUCAAGUCAUCAUGGCCCUUACGACCAGGGCUACACACGUGCUACAAUGGCGCAUACAAAGAGAAGCGACCUCGCGAGAGCAAGCGGACCUCAUAAAGUGCGUCGUAGUCCGGAUUGGAGUCUGCAACUCGACUCCAUGAAGUCGGAAUCGCUAGUAAUCGUGGAUCAGAAUGCCACGGUGAAUACGUUCCCGGGCCUUGCACACACCGCCCGUC
rnacentral:rRNA from 1 species